CUCCCUGGCCCGGCUCUCCUCUCCCUCCCAGCGGUGCGCGCGCGUGUCGGUGCCAGGCCCGCCGCCCCAGCCUGACACUCAAGCUCCUCGGACGGCCAGUCGCCCUAAAUAGAAGCUGGCCCGGGCUCGGCAUGGAGGGAGCGGAGAAGGCGGUGGCGGCGGCACCACCACCACCGGCCUUGCAGCAGCAGGCUCCACCACUGAGCAAUUGUCUUCAGCCUCAGGAAGCAGGCCCACUCCCGUCUCUGAAUGUUAAGGAAUCUCCUCCGGAAGCCAAGGUUGUCGUGCUGGAGGCCAAGGACCUGGUUGCAAAGGGCAAAAAGGGAGAAGUGAACGUGAUCUCAGAUGGCCGAACCAGGAAUUGUGAUCCUGAGGCUAUUGUGCUGGAUGCCAAGGCUGUAUGUCAGGAGGGCAAAGUGACAGCUGCCGAUGCCAGCGCUAUGGAACUGGACGUUAAAACUGCAAAAUCAGAGGCCAAAGAGUUGGACGGAGCCGAAGCUAAUGGGAUGUCACGGGCCUUGGCUACAGAUUGCAAGCAAGCAAGGUCAGAGGAUGAUGCUAUAAUGCCAGAAACUGGGCAUGAGGACAGGAAUGCUCAAGCGACCACACCAAAUGCUAGAGAUCACCAUGGCUGGGUUCUGGAGGCCAAACCAACUGCAGCGCCAGAGGCUACUAACCUCAAAGAGGGCAGCAAGGAAGGCGAUGGAGACAUUAUUUCUCUCGAUUAUGAAAUUCUUGGGUUUGGUCCUGAUAUUGAUUUCCUGGGCCCUGAUGCUGAGCUCUAUAUGCAGUUCAUGCGGAGCCACCGUUGUUAUGAUGCCAUUCCCACCAGCUCCAAACUUGUAGUAUUUGAAACCACUUUACAGAUUAAGAAAGCUUUCUUUGCCAUGGUGGCCAAUGGUGUGCGAGCUGCACCUCUCUGGGACAGUAAGCAGCAGUGCUUUGUGGGUAUGCUGACCAUUACCGACUUCAUUAACAUCCUACAUCGCUACUACCGAUCCCCUCUGGUUCAGAUAUAUGAGAUUGAGGAACACAAAAUUGAAACAUGGAGAGAGGUAUACUUGCAAAGUUCCUUCAAACCCCUGGUGUACAUCUCCCCGAAUGAUAGUCUCUUUGAUGCCGUGUAUUCCUUGAUUAAGAACAAGAUCCAUAGAUUGCCUGUAAUUGAGCCCAUCUCAGGAAAUGUCCUGCAUAUCCUGACACACAAACGCAUCCUCAAGUUUCUGCAUAUCUUUGGAGCCAUGCUUCCAAAGCCACGCUUCCUACAGAGAACCAUCCAGGAGCUGGGGAUUGGCACCUUCCGGGACGUUGCAAUGGUACUGGAGUCAGCUCCUGUCUACACAGCCUUGGAGGUAUUUGUGGAUCGCAGAGUCUCAGCACUGCCUGUCAUUAAUGAGAAAGGGAGUGUAGUUGGUCUCUACUCCCGCUUUGAUGUGAUUCACUUGGCUGCCCAGAAGUCGUACAACAACCUGGACAUUAGUGUGGGAGAAGCACUGAAACAGCGUUCGAUUUGCUUAGAGGGGGUGCUCACAUGCCACCCGCAUGAAACACUGGAAAAGAUUAUUGAUCGCAUUGCCAAAGAGCAGGUCCAUCGCCUGGUUCUGGUGGAUGAGAAGAAUGCCCCGCGGGGGAUCGUGUCCCUCUCUGACAUCCUCCAAGCCCUGGUGCUCACGCCUGCAGGUAUCGAUGCCCUAAACUCUUAAGCUGCUCGACGCUCCAUCUUUCCUCCAUUUGUACCCUCCAUUUCCUCCGCUUCUCUCCAGCUCAGGCAUUGACCGCCAUUCACUCUGAUGAUGUGAAAGAUCACACUACCUUGCACUUUGGAUUACUGCGCCUAUGACACAUGGGGAAUAGGAUGGCAAGCCCCAAGCCAUGAAGAGAUUGCUUUUUCUCCUAACACACAACAUUGGUGCUCUGAACAUUGUUUUUUUUCCUGACCUCUGGGAUGUAGAAAGGUGAACUAGGAAAGCCCAAGGAGAUGUGGUCAUGGGGAAAAGAACCUGAUCUUCAACACUGUCAAUAGAGGUUUGCCUUCUUAAACCUGCUACAGUGGUCUGCAAGCAGGCUUGGUCAGUAGAUGGAGAGACUACUGGUCCUGACUGAAGACUGAGUUGAUACAGGCCUCCUUCACUACUGGGGCUGAAUGAAGAUGAUAUCAGCCAGUGUGUGCAAGAGUCCAGCUUCCUCCUCAGAUCAGCCAGUGCUAUUCAUUCAAGCAAUAGUUGCUGCUUCAGGUUCAAGGGUGACUGAGAAGACCAUUUAUUUACCUGCCCAAGCGGAAGCCAGAAGCAUGUGCACUAUCAAAAAGUAGCCUCCCUGUGUGAAGACUAAGAAAAGAUUUCCCCCCUGGCCCAUGCUACUUUGGAGAAAAUGCACUCUCUCCCUUAAAUACUGCUUCUAGCACAAGACUGAGCAUUUAUCAAGCAGGUGGAUUGUGUUUUUUAUAGGUAAAUGUAUAUAUAUAUUUCAUUUUACAUGAGCCAGUAAUAAGGUUGAGAGAUAAAACACAUUUCCAUGAGAGAGGUGGGGGCUUUCCCUUUAUAAACACAAGCUCUUACAAAACAGAUUUCUCUCUGUUCUGAGAUAAAUCUAUGAUCCAAGAGCAGAUAACGUGUUACCCCUCCAGAUUUAUUGUUGUGCAGCUCCCAUCAUCUCUCAUCUGUGGCUGUGUUGGCAAGGAGUUUGGGGAUCUGCUGUUCAUCGGCACUUUGAGGGCUGCAGGUUCCCUAUAGUGGCCUUACAGAAUAAACAAGACAUCACUCUUGUGCUUCUGCACCAGUGAGCAACAAAAGAUGGGCUCAACCAGCCGAGGGCAAUCUGCAGCUCUUCCGAUGGUGGGACCUCUAUGCCAGGCGUUGGGGGCAAUUGGAGUUGUAGUCCCACCAACAUCAGGAGGGUAAUAGGUUCCCUACUCUUGUCUUAGAAGGUAGGGAGCUUGUUUGUCACAGACUAAGCCAGGGAAGGACUUGCGUCAGAAAAAGGGCACUGGUGGUCUCUCUUUGUUCUCCUAUAUUUGUUGAAUUAAACUUUCAUAUCAAGUCACAAACAAUGGUACAUUGUUAUAGUCUGAGUAUGCUUAUCUUUACCAGCAUGAGGCUUGGGAAUACCUCAGGGAAGAGGAAGGCUGCUAGAGUGAUUUAGCGUGCCUUCAUUUCUUUCAGUGCUUCGCUCAUCUCCCUUACUACGGUGUAACACACAGCAGAUGAUCUUUAACUACCUUAAGGCUUGAAUACCCUAGUACAGCAUAUAGAUGCCACUGCAACAGCAUUUAUACAAAGAGAAGCACCUUUCCAGGAAGGAGACCAGAAAGGUUCUGCAUUAGAGUACAGAGGGGAACAUACCAGUAGCCAAAGGAGGGGUUGUUUACUGGAAGUAGAGAGAAAGAUAUUUAGGACAACAUCAAUUCACAACAGCAACAUACUCGCGUUGCUGAAUUAUAGGACUCUUUUGUUUAACAAAGAAAAGAAAAGAAAA